rnacentral:sRNA from 1 species
GCCGGGCGCGGUGGCUCACGCCUGUAAUCCCAGCACUUUGGGAGGCUGAGGUGGGUGGAUCACCUGAGGUCGGGAGUUCGAGACCAGCCUGACCAACAUGGAGAAACCCCGUCUCUA